AAACUUUCAACAACGGAUCUCUUGGUUCUGGCAUCGAUGAAGAACGCAGCAAAAUGCGAUAAGUAAUGUGAAUUGCAGAAUUCAGUGAAUCAUCGAAUCUUUGAACGCACAUUGCGCCCCUUGGUAUUCCGGGGGGCAUGCCUGUUCGAGCGUCAUU
rnacentral:rRNA from 2 species